rnacentral:rRNA from 1 species
AGGGGGCAAGCGUUAUCCGGAUUUACUGGGUGUAAAGGGAGCGUAGACGGUCUGGCAAGUCUGAUGUGAAAGGCAGGGGCUCAACCCCUGGACUGCAUUGGAAACUGUAAGACUUGAGUGCCGGAGAGGUAAGCGGAAUUCCUAGUGUAGCGGUGAAAUGCGUAGAUAUUAGGAGGAACACCAGUGGCGAAGGCGGCUUACUGGACGGUAACUGACGUUGAGGCUCGAAAGCGUGGGGAGCAA